rnacentral:rRNA from 1 species
CAACGCGANCCCAGGUCAGGCGGGGCUACCCGCUGAGUUGAAGCAUA